rnacentral:rRNA from 1 species
UACGUAGGGUGCAGGCGUUAAUCGGAAUUACUGGGCGUAAAGCGUGCGCAGGCGGUUAUAUAAGACAGAUGUGAAAUCCCCGGGCGUCAACCUGGGAACGUGCAUUUGUGACUGUAUAGCUAGAGUACGGUAGAGGGGAGUGGAAUUCCGCGUGUAGCAGUGAAAUGCGUAGAUAUGCGGAGGAACACCGAUGGCGGAGGCAAUCCCCUGGACCUGUACUGACGCUCAUGCACGAAAGCGUGGGGAGCAAACAGGAUUAGAAACCCGGGUAGU